AUUUUUUUUUUAAAAAAAAAACCCUUUUUCCCAUACUUCUUCCUCCUGCCGCCGCCGCCAUCCUCACUGCCCAGAACGACCUCGCCGCCACCUCCGUCACCGUCGCUUGUUCGCCCAUGGAUCGUCGCCGCUUGUAGUCACUGCCACUUGUUCGCCCGUGGAUCGUCGCCGCUCGUCGUCACUAUCGAAGUGUCGCUCACGCCCGUGGGUCGCUGCCGCUCGUCGUCACAAUCGGAGUACCACUCGUACGCCCGUGGGUCGCCGCUACUCGCCGUCACGUCGUCCCUUCCACGCCUGUCCUUCAUCCGUAUAGCUGUCGAUCGUCUUCCAGCCGCCAGAUCUGUGGUGCAGCAGCAGAUUCGACGCCUAGCCACCAGCCACGCAGGCUUCUUCCGGUCAUUGCUCAUCGCACUGCCGUCGGAGACCACGCGCCGCCAGACCUCUCUUUCGUUCGCCACCGUUUUGUCGAUUUUGAGUGUUGAGACUGGUUGGAAUCAAGAUUUGGGAGGAUUUUGAGGUGGUCCACAAGGUUUGAAGUUUAAGACCAAUUUGGGGGGGAGGAAGGGUGCAAUUUGUUAAGGGGCUUCAAGGCUUUGCUUGGCAAGGAGAAAUAGGCUUGCUUAAACUAAUUUGGAUUUACUUUGAGGUAAGGGUAGAGAUGCACCGGCGAUGGCGCAGCGGAAUUCAUGAUCGUGCCACUGGGACUAGUU